AAGGAGGGUGAUAAACCAUUCCAUUGCCAGCCUCUGGCAGCUCCAGUGCCAGGAUGGAUCCAGAUGUGGUAUUCACGUUCCAGAUGUGGUAUUGACACUCUCUGAACAGACAGACAUCAUUCUCUCUCCCAGGAUUUUUCUUGGGGAAGGCAGUGAGAAGCUCAGAGAAGAGAAAACAAUUCUUAUCUCUACUGGCUGCUCCUGCUGUUUGGCACAUGUGGAAUGUGUUAUGGAGAUUGCUUACAGAAGUGUUGGCUCAUUUACUCAGUCCUAGAGACUCAUAAACAUCAUGUUGCAGAGAACCAGGACAUUUGAGCUUCCUGCUGCUGCUGCUGUUUGAGCCCUGCAUUCUGUGCUGGAACAUGCUUGGGAAGGGUUCUUGUUUGAUAUUUUUCAUGCAAGAAUGGUUUAGAAGGAUCCAAAGUUUCCAGUAAAUGUGAAUGUUGAACUUGACUGCCAUCUGUUACUUAAUGGAGCCUAAAGAGACAAGAGAUUCACCUCAAUAAUCUGAGGAUUCUUAUCUGUAUUUGUGAGAGCCUGCCCAAACAGCCCCAGCUGUGUCACCUCCAGAGAGGCUGCUGCAGAGGCAGCUUCAAAACUGCUGAUUUAUUUCACCCCAAAAAUGAGGCAGUGACAGCAGUUCUGUGUAAAAAGGAGGGUACAGUGGCAGUGCUGGUCACACAGCCUGCCUGGGAAGGAGUAGGAUGUGGAUUGAUGGGAAGGAUUCAGGGCAUCAACAGCUCAUUGUUGGCUUUGCAAAUCAGGUUCAGUUCCCUCAAAUGUGAUUUGUGAUCAUUCACUUGUGGGGAAUUUUGGAAGGGAUUUGAGAUGGGACUUCUGAGUUGUUUUUGAUGAU